rnacentral:rRNA from 1 species
UACAGAGGUCCCAAGCGUUGUUCGGAUUCACUGGGCGUAAAGGGUGCGUAGGUGGCCAGGUAAGUUUGGUGUGAAAGCUCGGAGCUUAACUCCGAAAAGUCAUUGAAUACUAUCUGGCUGGAGGGUCGGAGGGGGGACUGGAAUUCUCGGUGUAGCAGUGAAAUGCGUAGAUAUCGAGAGGAACACCAGUGGCGAAGGCGGUUGCCUGGGGCUUUGCUGACGCUGAUGCGCGAAAGCGUGGGGAGCGAUCCGG